GAUGAACGCUAGCGGCAGGCCUAAUACAUGCAAGACUAGGGGGCAGCAAUGUCACCGUCGCACGGGUGCGUAACGCGUAUGCAACCUACCUAUCACAGGGGGAUAGCCUUUGGAAACAGGGAUUAAUACCGCAUAAAGCAGGGGCUCCGCAUGGAGAUAUUGCUAAAGAUUUAUCGGUGAUAGAUGGGCAUGCGUCUGAUUAGUUAGAUGGUGGGGUAACGGCCUACCAUGGCGAUGAUCAGUAGGGGGCGUCAGAGCGUGGUCCCCCACACUGGCACUGAGAUACGGGCCAGACUCCUACGGGAGGCAGCAGUAGGGAAUAUUGGGCAAUGGAUGCAAGUCUGACCCAGCCAUGCCGCGUGAAGGAAGAAGGUCCUCUGGAUUGUAAACUUCGUUUUAAUCGGGGAAGAAGAAUCGCCUUGCGAGGUGAAGUGACGGUACCGAUGAAUAAGCCACGGCUAACUACGUGCCAGCAGCCG
rnacentral:rRNA from 1 species